rnacentral:rRNA from 1 species
AGUGAACGCUGGCGGUAGGCCUAACACAUGCAAGUCGAACGGCAGCACAGUAAGAGCUUGCUCUUACGGGUGGCGAGUGGCGGACGGGUGAGGAAUACAUCGGAAUCUACUUUUUCGUGGGGGAUAACGUAGGGAAACUUACGCUAAUACCGCAUACGACCUACGGGUGAAAGCAGGGGAUCUUCGGACCUUGCGCGAUUGAAUGAGCCGAUGUCGGAUUAGCUAGUUGGCGGGGUAAAGGCCCACCAAGGCGACGAUCCGUAGCUGGUCUGAAAGGAUGAUCAGCCACACUGGAACUGAGACACGGUCCAGACUCCUACGGGAGGCAGCAGUGGGGGAUAUUGGACAAUGGGCGCAAGCCUGAUCCAGCCAUACCGCGUGGGUGAAGAAGGCCUUCGGGUUGUAAAGCCCUUUUGUUGGGAAAGAAAAGCAGCAGGUUAAUACCCCGCUGUUCUGACGGUACCCAAAGAAUAAGCACCGGCUAACUUCGUG